rnacentral:rRNA from 1 species
UACAGAGGUCUCAAGCGUUGUUCGGAUUCAUUGGGCGUAAAGGGUGCGUAGGCGGCGCGGUAAGUCGGGUGUGAAAUCUUGGAGCUUAACUCCGAAACUGCAUUCGAUACUGCCGUGCUUGAGGACUGGAGAGGAGACUGGAAUUUACGGUGCAGCGGUGAAAUGCGUAGAUAUCGUAAGGAAGACCAGUGGCGAAGGCGGGUCUCUGGACAGUUCCUGACGCUGAGGCACGAAGGCCAGGGGAGCAAACGGG